rnacentral:tRNA from 1 species
GCCCACGUAGCUCAGGCGGUAGAGCGCGUCCUUGGUAAGGACGAGGUCAGCAGUUCAAGUCUGCUCGUGGGCUCCA